rnacentral:rRNA from 1 species
AACGAACGCUGGCGGCAUGCCUAACACAUGCAAGUCGAACGAGAUCUUCGGGUCUAGUGGCGCACGGGUGCGUAACGCGUGGGAAUCUGCCCUUUGGUUCGGAAUAACAGUUGGAAACGACUGCUAAUACCGGAUGAUGACGAAAGUCCAAAGAUUUAUCGCCAGAGGAUGAGCCCGCGUAGGAUUAGCUAGUUGGUGUGGUAAGGCGCACCAAGGCGACGAUCCUUAGCUGGUCUGAGAGGACGAUCAGCCACACUGGGACUGAGACACGGCCCAGACUCCUACGGGAGGCAGCAGUGGGGAAUAUUGGACAAUGGGCGAAAGCCUGAUCCAGCAAUGCCGCGUGAGUGAUGAAGGCCUUAGGGUUGUAAAGCUCUUUUACCCGGGAUGAUAAUGACAGUACCGGGAGAAUAAGCUCCGGCUAACUCCGUGCCAGCCGCCGCAGUAA